rnacentral:rRNA from 1 species
GGGGGAAACCCUGACGCAGCAACGCCGCGUGUGUGAUGAAGGCCUUCGGGUCGUAAAGCACUGUGAGGUGGAACGAGCCGCCGGGGGUUAAUACCCUUCGGCCCGACGGUACCACCAGAGGAAGCACCGGCUAACCCUGUGCCAGCAGCCGCGGUAAUACAGGGGGUGCAAGCGUUGUUCGGAAUUAUUGGGCGUAAAGCGCGUGUAGGCGGGCCACUAAGUCUGGUGUGAAAUCCCUCGGCUUAACCGAGGACGUGCAUUGGAUACUGGUGGCCUUGAGUCCUGGAGAGGGUAGCGGAAUUCCCAGUGUAGAGGUGAAAUUCGUAGAUAUUGGGAGGAACACCGGUGGCGAAGGCGGCUACCUGGACAGUGACUGACGCUGAGACGCGAAAGCAUGGGUAGCAAACAGGAUUAGAUACCCUGGUAGUCCAUGCCGUAAACGAUGGGUGCUAGUUGGUGCGGGUAUUGACCCCUGCGCUGACGAAGCUAACGCGUUAAGCACCCCGCCUGGGGAGUACGGCCGCAAGGCUAAAACUCAAAGGAAUUGACGGGGG